rnacentral:rRNA from 1 species
GAUUGCAGGCUGCAACUCGCCUGCAUGAAGUCGGAAUUGCUAGUAAUCGUGGAUCAGCAUGCCACGGUGAAUACGUUCCCGGGCCUUGUACACACCGCCCGUCACACCAUGGGAGUCGGUAACACCCGAAGCCUGUAGUCUAACCGCAAGGAGGACGCAGUCGAAGGUGGGAUUGAUGACUGGGGUGAAGUCGUAACAAGGUAAC